rnacentral:rRNA from 1 species
UGAAGUGCACAUGGUGGAUGCCUUGGCAGUCAGAGGCGAUGAAAGACGUGACAGCCUGCGAAAAGCGUCGGGGAGGCGGCAAUAUCCUGUGAUCCGGCGAUAUCUGAAUGGGGAAACCCACUUGUCAUAAGACAGGUAUCGUAAAUUUAUUUACGAGGCAAACCGGGAGAAGUGAAACAUCUCAGUAACCCGAGGAAAAGACAUCAAUAGAGAUUCCCCUAGUAGCGGCGAGCGAACGGGGAGGAGCCGACGAGUUUUAGUGUAGAAGAAAGGUUUGGAAAGGCCUACUGUAAAGGGUGAUAGUCCCGUAUUCGAAACACUUUAAUGAGCAUAUUAAGUAGGGCGGAACACGAGAAAUUCUGUCUGAAGAUGGGGGGACCAUCCUCCAAGGCUAAAUACUCCUGACCGACCGAUAGUGAACCAGUACCGUGAGGGAAAGGCGAAAAGAACCCCGGAGAGGGGAGUGAAAUAGAUCCUGAAACCGUGUGCAUACAAGCAGUCGGAGCAUCAUUUAUGAUGUGACGGCGUACCUUUUGUAUAAUGGGUCAGCGA